GAUGAACGCUGGCGGCGUGCCUAAUACAUGCAAGUCGAGCGAACGGACGAGAAGCUUGCUUCUCUGAUGUUAGCGGCGGACGGGUGAGUAACACGUGGAUAACCUACCUAUAAGACUGGGAUAACUUCGGGAAACCGGAGCUAAUACCGGAUAAUAUUUUGAACCGCAUGGUUCAAAAGUGAAAGACGGUCUUGCUGUCACUUAUAGAUGGAUCCGCGCUGCAUUAGCUAGUUAGUAAGGUAACGGCUUACCAAGGCAACGAUGCAUAGCCGACCUGAGAGGGUGAUCGGCCACACUGGAACUGAGACACGGUCCAGACUCCUACGGGAGGCAGCAGUAGGGAAUCGUCCGCAAUGGGCGAAAGCCUGACGGAGCAACGCCGCGUGAGUGAUGAAGGUCUUCGGAUCGUAAAACUCUGUUAUUAGGGAAGAACAUAUGUGUAAGUAACUGUGCACAUCUUGACGGUACCUAAUCAGAAAGCCACGGCUAACUACGUG
rnacentral:rRNA from 1 species